UGAGGCAGGAGAAUUGCUUGAACCCAGGAAGUGGAAGUUGCAGUGAGCCAAGAUCUAGCCACUGCACUCCAGCCUGGGUGACAUAGCAAGACUC
rnacentral:miRNA from 1 species